rnacentral:rRNA from 1 species
AGAGUUGAUCAUGGCUCAGGAUGAACGCUGGCGGCGUGCCUAAUACAUGCAAGUCGAACGAGGUAGCAAUACCGAGUGGCGAACGGGUGAGUAACACGUAGGUAACCUGCCCUUAAGCUUGGGAUACCCAGAGGAAACUUGGCUAAUACCGGAUAACAACAGAGAAGGCAUCUUCUUUGCUUGAAAGGCCCCUUCAAGGGUCACUUAAGGAUGGACCUGCGGCGCAUUAGCUAGUUGGUGAGAUAACAGCCCACCAAGGCGAGGAUGCGUAGCCGAACUGAGAGGUUGAUCGGCCACAUUGGAACUGAGACACGGUCCAAACUCCUACGGGAGGCAGCAGUAAGGAGUUUUCGGCAAUGGGGGAAACCCUGACCGAGCAACGCCGCGUGAGCGAUGACGGCCCUAUGGGUUGUUAAAAAGCUCUGUUGUAAGCCAUGAAUGAUAGCUUGAGGAAAUGCAAGCUAUUUGACGACAGCUUACCAGAAAGCCACGGCUAACUACGUGCCAGCAGCAGC